rnacentral:lncRNA from 1 species
GGGGAAUAACUCCCUUAGCAACAGCCAAGCCACGCGAUGUCCCUCAUGGAAAUUCUCACCAAAUGUCACAGAUGGUACUGUGGUUGGAAAUCUUUACAGCAUUCCAGUGGAACCAUUAUGCCUUUGAUGCGUCACUCCGCCAAGGCCCAGGAACUAUGGAACAUAUUACCUUACCAAGAAAG